rnacentral:rRNA from 1 species
UACGUAGGGGGCGAGCGUUGUCCGGAUUUACUGGGCGUAAAGAGCGCGCAGGCGGUCGUUCAAGUCGGGUGUGAAAGCCCCCGGCUCAACUGGGGAGGGUCACUCGAUACUGAUCGACUCGAAGGCAGGAGAGGGAAGCGGAAUUCUCGGUGUAGCGGUGAAAUGCGUAGAUAUCGAGAGGAACACCGGCGGCGAAGGCGGGUCGCUGGGCUGACACUGACGCUGAAGCGCGAAAGCUAGGGGAGCGAACGGG